CUGAAUAUUAGGUAAAGCUCGGCACAUGCCUGCUGCAUUUCGUGACUGUCACACCAGAGACUGUGCCGCAUGUUAAGGAAGCAUAAAGACAGAGCAGGACACAUAAAUGUAGCAGUCAUUCGUUUCACCCGCCCAAAGCAUCCUUGUCGAUUUUCUUCUCACUUCUUUUUCCCCCUGCAGGAUUUGUCUAUUUGUGUUAAUUUGGAGGGCUUUUCCUGUGACCGUCCCUAAUUUCCCACAUAGUUUGAGCCAGUCACCAUCAUCAAGACGAAGGACUCUCCCCACCCCUAGGAGGCUCUUUGUUGGGUACCCCCUCUCCAGCUCUGGGUCUGUGGCUCUGCAGGCUUUAUCUUGCUCUUUCUUCAGGGAAAGGACUUCCCUGACCCCACCCUCUACUACCUGACUGAUCCUGGAGCUCCUUAUUCCUCACUAGUUGUUCUAGAGAGUCACUGAGACACACCACUUCAAGCACACAGAAGCUUGGCCCAACCACUCACACACUCUGGUUCGGUCCGACCACUGGAGAGGAGUCCACCUGGGGCUCCUGCCUCACGGUCUGUUUCCGGUUUCCUGUUUUCUCCUGUUUCCUCACGGUUAGAGAGAGAUUAAAAACUGGCUACCUACUUUUAGCUUAUCUGAAUUCUGCCAAUGUCUCGCAAGACUUGUUUAUGUAUUAUCUACAGUGAACACAGCUGAUGAAUUUUGCCCAUCCUGUUUGCUUUUCUUGGCCUCUGUAGAAGAACUGAAUAUUUUCCCAUAACGGAGCAAACACACACUCUCCCCAGCAUUAUAGAGAAGAGUCUGGAAGUGUGGGGUUGGAACUUAGAGACCAGGCUUUGUCAGGACCUGGGCAGUCCCUCUGGGAGCGGCCUCGUGAUUCUGAACACAGCUUGGCUAAAGGGUGAAUGUGUCUAUGAUGAAACCAACUUGGAUAAACAUCCUUUAAGUCCAGGGAAGCAGCGCUCCGAGAAUGGGUCAGACCUCCACCGUUUGUGACUGGGAGUGAGGCUGUACUUCUGGUGUUGUCUCUGCUGCUUUCCCUUGUGUCUGUUCUAGGCCUUCAGUAAAUCUUCCCAGUUGUGCAGGUCUAUCUUGUCAUUGCUCAUGAAUGCUAGUGGAUACCGUGUAUGUUUCCAUUAAAGCCAGGGUAUCAAAGCGGGUCCAGGCUGCCCUGGGGGGUCAGCAUGUAAUUGAUUCAAGAAAAUUCCAAGAUGAAGGAUUUAUGGAUAAACAAGAGGCGCCACUUAGCAAACUGCCUUCCUCACUUGGAAAUUCUGUCUGGUGCUACCUGAAGGUUGGUGUAGGGAAGGGAUUUCCCUCAUGAAGGUGUCCUGGAACCCCCUUCAAGGAGCUGGAUCUUCUUGCACUCAAUAUUGCAUCUAGUUCAUAGGCCAAUAGGCUUUAAAAUUCGGGGACCCAUCAGUCUUCGUCUCUGCAAACCCAACUGGAGAGUGUUAAUAACAUACAUCUUAUGGAAGCCAAAGCAAAGAGGGUGGCUAUUUUUAACUUGGGGCAGGAAAAUGUGGCUGGAAAGGAAACAUCUGUCCCAAGCUAUUGACUCGUAUGCUUUGUGUAGAGGUCUUUUCUGUCUUGAAACCAUCAAAAAUAAAAUAAGGUGGUUGGUCCAGGCCUGACUCUAGAAGAAAAAGGCAAAGCUUUCCUCAAUUCUCAUUUCUCCUGCUUAUCAUCUGCGUUGGUUCUGUGGGCCCAGAAGAGACCACCUUAGAGGCAGAGGGUGGGGAAAAUGGCCCAAGAGCGGCCUGAUUCCUGUGAAUUUGUGAUUCCUGUGAAUUCCUUCAUCCAAGAUGGCCUCACCCUUUAGGGUUCAAAAUUUACAGAUUCCCCAGUUGGGGGUGGGGCAGGUCACCAGAGGUCUCAUGCUGGGAGAAGACCUCUGAGUGUCAGAAUACUUCCGUUGGCAGUUCUGGCUGCUGCUUUCCAAGCAGAGGAGUUGUUCUUUCUUCUAGGGGCAGCAAGAAAAUUCUCUUUCCUCCAAGACAGGCCAGUCUUCUCUGUGUCUGGCUGGGGGAAGGGGGCAAAUGUGGAUCUGCA